AACGAACGCUGGCGGCAGGCCUAACACAUGCAAGUCGAGCGCACCCUUCGGGGCGAGCGGCGGACGGGUUAGUAACGCGUGGGAACGUACCCUUUUCUAUGGACUAGCCUCGGGAAACUGAGAGUAAUACCAUAUAAGCCCUUCGGGGAAAGAUUUAUCGGGAAAGGAUCGGCCCGCGUUAGAUUAGAUAGUUGGUGGGGUAAUGGCCUACCAAGUCUACGAUCUAUAGCUGGUUUUAGAGGAUGAUCAGCAACACUGGGACUGAGACACGGCCCAGACUCCUACGGGAGGCAGCAGUGGGGAAUCUUAGACAAUGGGCGCAAGCCUGAUCUAGCCAUGCCGCGUGUGUGAUGAAGGUCUUAGGAUCGUAAAGCACUUUCGCCAGGGAUGAUAAUGACAGUACCUGGUAAAGAAACCCGGCUAACUCCGUG
rnacentral:rRNA from 1 species